rnacentral:rRNA from 1 species
CCUACGGGAUGCAGCAGUGGGGAAUCUUGCGCAAUGGGCGAAAGCCUGACGCAGCCAUGCCGCGUGAAUGAUGAAGGUCUUCGGGUUGUAAAGUACUUUCAGCGGGGAGGAAGGUGUUGUGGUUAAUAACCACAGCAAUUGACGUUACCCGCAGAAGAAGCACCGGCUAACUCCGUGCCAGCAGCCGCGGUAAUACGGAGGGUGCAAGCGUUAAUCGGAAUUACUGGGCGUAAAGCGCACGCAGGCGGUCUGUCAAGUCGGAUGUGAAAUCCCCGGGCUCAACCUGGGAACUGCAUUCGAAACUGGCAGGCUAGAGUCUUGUAGAGGGGGGUAGAAUUCCAGGUGUAGUGGUGAAAUGCGUAGAGAUCUGGAGGAAUACCGGUGGCGAAGGCGGCCCCCUGGACAAAGACUGACGCUCAGGUGCGAAAGCGUGGGGAGCAAACAGGAUUAGAUACCCGUGUAGUC